UACAGAGGGUGCGAGCGUUAAUCGGAAUUACUGGGCGUAAAGCGUGCGUAGACGGCUAUCUAAGUCGGGUGUGAAAGCCCCGGGCUCAACCUGGGAAUUGCAUUCGAGACUGAAUAGCUAGGGUACGGUAGAGGGAUGCGGAAUUCCAGGUGUAGCGGUGAAAUGCGUAGAUAUCUGGAGGAACACCGGUGGCGAAGGCGGCAUCCUGGACCAACACUGACGCUGAGGAGCGAAAGCCAGGGAGCAAACGGG
rnacentral:rRNA from 1 species